CAAAAUGGGUCCAUGUCUGCUGCUGAACACACACGCCCAGAUCUCUGGUUCGAAAGACAUCUGAUCAGAAUUCACUAAAGCCCUAAAGAGUGAGCGAACAUCACCCCUCGACACCCACGUCACCCUCCACCUGCCAGUCAGCAGCCGGCACCAGCGAGAGGUGGUGGAGUAAAGGGAAGGAUGUGGAACAACAGGUCUGUCGGAUGUGGUGUUUUGGAAGACAGGAUUGUUUGUUGGCACCUCCAUCUGGUGAUACGACGAUACUGCAGUCAACAAAUACAAAGAGGUCACCCGCAUGGCCAAUAUGAAGUUUUAGAUGGUUGAAAUUCACACACUCUUUUCAAGUUAAAGACUCGGAGUCCCGAGGCCUCAGACACGAGCCUGCAGACCUUUGGAUUGAUUUCCUCCUGUCUCCUUCAGGUUAGCCCUCAGGAACCCCAUCCAAUCACAUCAAAUCACGGACGCCAAGUGGUGCGGUCCCGUCCAAUCACGCUGAUUGCUUUGGAAAGUCCAGGCCAUCCCUUAAGCUAACAGUGCAAUUACUGGAAGUGUCUCAUGAAAGGAAUGUGUGAGAGGAUGGGCGGGUGAAGGUGAUUAAUUGAGAAGGGAGCUCUUUAAGGGAGGAGAAAAGCAGCGGAUGAUCGAGGAAGCGAGAGACAGAGUUUCGAAGGGGGCGACGGUCGGGUAGAUCAUGAGAGAAGAGUUCAUUGAGGGAUCAGUCGGAUAAAUGGAUGGAGGGGAUGGAGAAGAGGUAUCAAUCAAUUCUAUGACCAUUGUGAGAAAAUCUGAAGAUGUUGCGAAGAGCAAACUGACCAAUGAGUUCGUAUAACACCUGUUUUAUGAACUUCUUUAGAAGGAAAAACACUAAAGCAAUGCGGAGAGCAUCAGAUACAUUUUCUUAGCCCAUAUAAGGGACAGUUCAAUUAAAAAAAAUCUGAUCUCAUUUACUCACCCUCGUGUUAUUUCAAAUGUGUAAAAAUGUCUUUGUUCCGAUCAACACAGAGAAGGAUAUUUGGAAAACCAAACAGUCCUUGGCCACCAGUGUCUACCAUAGCAUUCUUCCAAAUAUCUUUCUCUGCGUUCAUCACAACAUGAAUGAUGUCAGAAUUGUCAUUUUUGCGUAAACUGUUCCUUUAACAUUUGUUUAUUGUUUUAACUAAACUAACUUUAACUACAUUUGAUUAGAUUUCUCUGCAAACAAAUUUUAAUGUCAUUUUGCUUCUCAAAUAAAUAUAAACUGUUAUAAGAAUCUUUAGAUAUUUAUACUGGAAACAAAAUAAGAAAAUGAUUUGCUGCAAUGAAGAAAAAAAGAACCUGACUUCAUGAAGAUUUCUCAGUCUAAUCAGAUAUUACAAAUAAUACAAAGAUAAUAUGCCAAAAUAAGGAGAUAUCUUUUCCGUGUGUUAAAUUGAGUUUCUGUCCUAACCAUCCGUGACAAAGCUAAAUUAUUACAAAUUACUGUACGCCUACUAGUUAUGAAAAACCUUGAUUAUUCCUUUAAAUUUGCAUCACAGGCAAAAUAUCUUUGCUCAGAGUUCCUGAUUUAAUAAAGAUUUAUUAACAUUUCAUUUGUUGAAUAAAAUGCGAGUAAUUGAAUAAAAUUAUUGACU